rnacentral:rRNA from 1 species
UUUAAGAGUUUGAUCCUAGCUCAGGAUGAACGCUGGCGGCGUGUUUAAGGCAUGCAAGUCGUACGUAGCCGAUGCGCAGCACCGGAAAUUCGAAAUUCGAAAUUCGAAAUUCGAAACAAAUACCAAAUUUCAAUUUUCAAAUAUCACAAACACGUUUUGAACAUUGUAAUUUUGGUCAUUAGAAUUUGUUUCGGAUUUAGGAUUUUGUGCUUCGUGCUUCCGCUGCUGUGCAGCGGUUUAGUGGCAAACGGGUGAGUAACACACUGGUAACCUACCUUUGAGACGAGGAUAGCUCUCCGAAAGGAGAAUUAAUACUCGAUGGAAAUGCGGGGACAUAAGUCAUUCGUAUUUAAAGUCGCAAGACGCUCAAAGAGGGGCCUAUGUCUGAUUAGCUAGUUGGUGAGGUAAUGGCCCACCAAGGCUUCGAUCAGUAGCAGGCGUGAGAGCGUGACCUGCCUCACUGGGACUGAGACACUGCCCAGACUCCUACGGGAGGCUGCAGUCAAGAAUCUUCCACAAUGGGCGAAAGCCUGAUGGAGCGACGCCGCGUGCAGGAUGAAGGCCUUCGGGUCGUAAACUGCUUUUAUGGGGGAAGAAUUUGUGACGGUACCCCAAGAAUAAGAGGUUGCUAACUCUGUGCCAGCAGCAGCGGUAAUACAGAGACCUCAAGUGUUAUCCGGAUUUAUUGGGCGUAAAGCGUCCGCAGAUUGUUUAACGGGUCAGGAGUCAAAACUCAGUGCUUAACAUUGGGAUUGCUUUUGAAACUAUUAGACUAGAGGAUGGAAGAGG